GGGGUGCCAACCUGUCCUGACGUGCACUAAUGGCAACAAUCAACAGGUCACGAAUGAGGCGGGACUUCGUUCGCAUCGAAGGGGUCAGGGGUUCGAAUCCCCUCAUCUCCA
rnacentral:tRNA from 1 species